rnacentral:rRNA from 1 species
GACGAACGCUGGCGGCGUGCUUAACACAUGCAAGUCGUACGGUAAGGCCCUUUCGGGGGUACACGAGUGGCGAACGGGUGAGUAACACGUGAGUAACCUGCCCACAACUUUGGGAUAACGCUAGGAAACUGGUGCUAAUACUGGAUAUGUGCUCCUGCUGCAUGGUGGGGGUUGGAAAGCUCCGGCGGUUGUGGAUGGACUCGCGGCCUAUCAGCUUGUUGGUGGGGUAGUGGCCUACCAAGGCGGCGACGGGUAGCCGGCCUGAGAGGGUGACCGGCCACAUUGGGACUGAGAUACGGCCCAGACUCCUACGGGAGGCAGCAGUGGGGAAUAUUGCACAAUAGGCGCAAGCCUGAUGCAGCAACGCCGCGUGCGGGAUGACGGCCUUCGGGUUGUAAACCGCUUUCAGCAGGGACGAAGCUUUUUGUGACGGUACCUGCAGAAGAAGCACCGGCUAACUACGUG